rnacentral:rRNA from 1 species
AUUGAACGCUGGCGGCAGGCCUAACACAUGCAAGUCGCACGAGUGGCGGACGGGUGAGUAAUGUCUGGGAAACUGCCUGAUGGAAGGGGAUCACUACUGGAAACGGUAGCUAAUACCGCAUACCAUCAGAUGUGCCCAGAUGGGAUUAGCUAGUUUGUGGGGUAACGGCGCACCAAGGCGACGAUCCCUAGCUGGUCUGAGAGGAUGACCAGCCAAACUGGAACUGAGACACGGCCCAGACUACUACGGGAGGCAGCAGGGGGGAAUAUUGCACAAUGGGGGCAAGCCGGAUGCAGCCAUGCCGCGGGUAUGAUGAAGGCCUUCGGGUUGUAAAGUACUUUCAGCGGGGAGGCGUUACCCGCAGAAGAAGCACCGGCUAACUCCGUGCCAGCAGCCGCGGUAAUAC